rnacentral:rRNA from 1 species
ACGGCGAGUGANAGGAAGAGCUCAAAGUUGGAACCUGUUUGGCCUAGCUAAACCGGAUUGUAGACUGUAGAAGUGUUUUCCAGGCAAGCCGAGUAAAUAAGUCCUUUGGAACAGGGCAUCAUAGAGGGUGAGAAUCCCGUCUUUGGCUUGAGCAUUUGCCUUUUGUGAUACGCUUUCAAAGAGUCAGGUUGUUUGGGAAUGCAGCCUAAAUUGGGUGGUAAAUCUCACCUAAAGCUAAAUAUUGGCGAGAAACCGAUAGCGAACAAGUACCGUGAGGGAAAGAUGAAAAGAACUUUGAAAAGAGAGUUAAACAGUAUGUGAAAUUGUUAAAAGGGAACCGUUUGGAGCCAGACUGGCUUGUCUGUAAUCAAUCUAGGCUUCGGCCUGGAUGCACUUGCAGGCUAUGCCUGCCAACGACAAUUUGACUUGAGGGAAAAAACUAAGGGAAAUGUGGCCCACUUGUGGGUGUUAUAGUCCCUUAGAAAAUACCUUGGGUUGGAUUGAGGAACGCAGCGAAUGCUUUUUGGCGAGUUUUCCAGGAAGGUUUUCUGAGGUACUACGGUAUCAAGGUUGAUCUUUUUGGUUAUACUUCUAUUCGCUUAGGUUGUUGGCUUAAUGACUCUAAAUGACCCGUCUUGANNNNACGGACCA